AUUAUCGUCGUGUUUCAACGGGGUACAUUACACAACAAUCGUUAACAAUAUAUAGAGAAAGGUUCGAUCAUGUAUUUUACAAUGCUUCAUUUGUCGAGCUAGCCACCAAUUUCUCUAGCGUUAGUAAAUUGAAGUCGGUUCAGGAGGACUCACUUCAUAAGUUUAUCAAGCGUUGCUUUCUCUGUUUUGCCAACUGGAUAUAGAAAAUGCGGUUUGACAGGAAGUGAACUAUAAAGUGAGGAGAUAAAUAAUAAAGCGAGGCUGCUCGUUGAAAAUAUAUCUCGUGCGGCCAGGUGUUCCUUCGCUUCGCUCCUUGAAAACAACAAAGAGAAAAGGGUGUACGCGUAUCCAAGAGUUAAAAACAAGAAACAGUUCAGACAGUAAUAAACAUAUUUGAUUGGCUUAGACUUACGUCAUAGCUCGCAUACAACGAUUCUAUUGGUUGAAAAUGACCUGGGUGUUACCUAAAGGGCACAGCCCCAAACCAACCAGACUGUGAACUAUUAACAUUCAAGACUGAGGUUGUCGAAUAAACUACAGACAAUUUUGGAGAACUUAGAGAAAUUGGUGUCGCUAUAAGAUUCAAGGCUAACUGAAAGCAUAGUUAAUGAGUAGAGUACUUGCUAAAGAAAAUAAACUGAACUUCGAAGCGACGGACGAUCAUUAACGCGGAAGUGAAGUUUAUCACGGAAUAAAUCGUGGGAUUGAAACAUUAAGGUAUUGAAAGUGGAGAACAUUUGAAGCGUUCUUGCUAACGUAGGAAUCACACAGAAGUACCAGAACGAACACCGCUACA